GACGAACGCUGGCGGCGUGCUUAACACAUGCAAGUCGAACGGAAAGGCCCUGCUUUUGUGGGGUGCUCGAGUGGCGAACGGGUGAGUAACACGUGAGUAACCUGCCCUUGACUUUGGGAUAACUUCAGGAAACUGGGGCUAAUACCGGAUAGGAGCUCCUGCUGCAUGGUGGGGGUUGGAAAGUUUCGGCGGUUGGGGAUGGACUCGCGGCUUAUCAGCUUGUUGGUGGGGUAGUGGCUUACCAAGGCUUUGACGGGUAGCCGGCCUGAGAGGGUGACCGGACACAGGGGAAUUAGGAAACGGCCAGGACUCCUACGGGAGGAAGCAGUGGGGAAUAUUGCAAAAGGGGCGGAAGCCUGAUGCAGCAACGCCGGGUGGGGGAGGACGGCCUUCGGGUUGUAAACCGCUUUCGCCUGUGACGAAGCGUGAGUGACGGUAAUGGGUAAAGAAGCACCGGCUAACUACGU
rnacentral:rRNA from 1 species